rnacentral:lncRNA from 1 species
CUUAACUUUAAUAGUCUCCCACUCACUUCAUUCACUUCCUAACUUCCUUUACUUUUCAAGGAACAACACAGGGCAUCAUCUCCCCUAUCCUGGGAGUGUGUGCUCAAAGAAUCUGCAUUGGAAAGAGGGAAGGAAUCGACAAUUCUCAAGUAGGUUAAGAAACAGCCGACUCCACGCGUUGCCGAGUCCUCACAGGAGACCAAUGAACGAGAGUCGGCGAAAAAACUCUUCAGAACCGGGCCUGACUGCUUCAGUGAGUCCGACCUUUACGGCUGAGAGAGAGACUCUCAGCUUUCGGUGGGUUCCACGGCUAGACGGGCCACCAUCUUACAUUAGGUACAGCUGAGCUCAUCUUCCUUACGGGAAAAUCUCCAGUGAAGAAAUACCUGAAUUGCCAUGUGCACAUUUCUCAAGAGAACGCGGGCAGUCAGAGUAGCAUGAGUUGCUGAUGAUGUGAAAGCAUGUGGACUUACCUGCAAACUGUUGCUGGCUGCACAGAACUCUUCCAGCCUGCACAGAAGUGUGCGUCAGGUUCGCAAACUGCACAAAUAAACACGUCUCAAAGGACA